UACGUAGGGGGCAAGCGUUGUCCGGAUUUAUUGGGCGUAAAGAGCUCGUAGGCGGCUCAGUAAGUCAGGUGUGAAACCUCCAGGCUCAACCUGGAGACGCCACCUGAUACUGCUGUGGCUAGAGUCCGGUAGGGGAGCGUGGAAUUCCUGGUGUAGCGGUGAAAUGCGCAGAUAUCAGGAGGAACACCAGCGGCGAAGGCGGCGCUCUGGGCCGGAACUGACGCUGAGGAGCGAAAGCGUGGGUAGCAAACAGG
rnacentral:rRNA from 1 species